CACUGCAAGGAUUUCGUCCACGAAUGUUAUCAUAGGUUACGCGCGACUCCAGAGGCAAUUUGGAAUCUCGGCACGAAAUCGUCUGAUGAAAAUCUGAGGUGCCCGACGCAUAACAUUUUGAACGUGCCACGGAGGAUCAAGGCAAAAAACGAGAGCAAAAAAUGGUGCACGCUGAAGGCGGAAAUGAAGCAUGAUCUGGCUUGCAUCUGGUCAUGAAGAAAUUGCUGACACGUUAGUUGCAGUCCACCUCCACCAACAGGGUGGAAAACAAAGAUCGCCAUUCCGAUUAGCUGCUAUCUCCCAGUUCAAGCACUUUUGUGUCUGGACACUGGUUCCUGUGGAUGGGGUGUUACAAGCUUUACUGUCUGAUAUAGAAGUGAUGAGCAUCCAUAAGGACACAUGCCAGAAAGGGAGUCUCUUUGGGAUGACAAACCCUCAUCACCUCAUGAGGAUACAAUGGUUGACGAAUGGUUCUCAAGCACAUCGAAACUUCCAACAAAUAAUUCAUGAAAAAGCCAGU